CGGGACGUGGCGCAGCCUGGUAGCGCACUUGCUUGGGGUGCAAGGGGUCGCGAGUUCAAAUCUCGCCGUCCCGA
rnacentral:tRNA from 1 species